AGAGUUUGAUCCUGGCUCAGAACGAACGCUGGCGGCGUGCCUAACACAUGCAAGUCGAGCGCGAAUGGAGCAAUCCUAGUAGAGCGGCGCACGGGUGCGUAACACGUGGGUAAUCUGCCCAGAAGAUCGGAAUAACUAUCCGAAAGGAUAGCUAAUGCCGGAUAAGCCUACGGGAUCUUCGGAUCUUGGAGGAAAAGGUGGCCUCUGUAUACAAGCUAUCACUUCUGGAUGAGCCCGCGGCCCAUCAGCUAGUUGGCGGGGUAAUGGCCCACCAAGGCUACGACGGGUAGCUGGUCUGAGAGGACGAUCAGCCACACUGGAACUGAGACACGGUCCAGACUCCUACGGGAGGCAGCAGUGGGGAAUUUUGCGCAAUGGGCGAAAGCCUGACGCAGCAACGCCGCGUGUGUGAUGAAGGUCUUCGGAUUGUAAAGCACUUUCGACCGGGACGAACACCCUUUGGCUAACACCCAGGGGCCUGACGGUACCGGGAGAAGAAGCACCGGCUAACUCUGUGCCAGCAGCCGCGGUAAUACAGAGGGUGCAAGCGUUGUUCGGAAUUAUUGGGCGUAAAGCGCGUGUAGGCGGCCUUGCAAGUCGGGUGUGAAAGCCCUCAGCUUAACUGAGGAAGUGCGCCCGAAACUGCAGAGCUUGAGUACCGGAGAGGAUGGUGGAAUUCCCCAAGUAGAGGUGAAAUUCGUAGAUAUGGGGAGGAACACCGGUGGCGAAGGCGACCAUCUGGACGGAUACUGACGCUGAGACGCGAAAGCGUGGGUAGCAAACAGGAUUAGAUACCCUGGUAGUCC
rnacentral:rRNA from 1 species